rnacentral:rRNA from 1 species
AAUCAACGCUGGCGGCGUGCCUCAGACAUGCAAGUCGAACGCGAAAGUUUCCUUCGGGGAACAAGUAGAGUGGCGCACGGGUGAGUAACACGUAGGUAACCUACCUUUGGAUGGGGAAUAACAACCGGAAACGGUUGCUAAUACCGCAUAAUGCAGCGGCACCUAAUGGUGACAGUUGUUAAAGCGGGGGAUCGAAAGACCUCGCGUCUGAAGAGGAGCCUGCGGCGGAUUAGCUAGUUGGAAGGUAAUGGCUUACCAAGGCGACGAUCCGUAACCGGCCUGAGAGGGCGGUCGGUCACACUGACACUGACAUACGGGUCAGACUCCUACGGGAGGCAGCAGUCGGGAAUUUUGGGCAAUGGGCGAAAGCCUGACCCAGCAACGCCGCGUGAAGGAUGAAAUCCCUCGGGAUGUAAACUUCGCAAGAACGGGAAGAAUAAGCGAGAGUUAAUAUCUUUCGUGAUGACGGUACCGUUUGUAAGCUCCGGCUAACUCCGUGCCAGCAGCCGCCGCGGU